GUGCUUGCUUUGGCAGCAUAUGCACUAAAAUGGGAACAAUACAGAGAAAAUUAGCAUAGUCCCUAUGCAGAAGUGAUACACAAAUUCAUGAAGCAUUCCAUAUAUAA